UACGAAGGGGACUAGCGUUGUUCGGAAUUACUGGGCGUAAAGCGCACGUAGGCGGAUUUGUAAGUCAGGGGUGAAAUCCCGGGGCUCAACCUCGGAACUGCCUUUGAUACUGCAAGUCUCGAGUCCGGUAGAGGUGGGUGGAAUUCCUAGUGUAGAGGUGAAAUUCGUAGAUAUUAGGAAGAACACCGGUGGCGAAGGCGGCCCACUGGAUCGGUACUGACGCUGAGGUGCGAAAGCGUGGGGAGCAAACAGG
rnacentral:rRNA from 1 species